AACGAACGCUGGCGGCAUGCCUAACACAUGCAAGUCGAACGAGACCUUCGGGUCUAGUGGCGCACGGGUGCGUAACGCGUGGGAACCUGCCCUUAGGUUCGGCAUAACUCCCCGAAAGGGGUGAUAAUACCGGAUAAUGUCUUCGGACCAAAGAUUUAUCGCCCUUGGAUGGGCCCGCGUUGGAUUAGCUCGUUGGUAGGGUAAAAGCCUACCAAGGCGACGAUCCAUAGCUUGUCUGAGAGGAUGAUCAGCCACACUGGGACUGAGACACGGCCCAGACUCCUACGGGAGGCAGCAGUGGGGAAUAUUGGACAAUGGGCGAAAGCCUGAUCCAGCAAUGCCGCGUGAGUGAUGAAGGCCUUAGGGUUGUAAAGCUCUUUUACCCGGGAUGAUAAUGACAGUACCGGGAGAAUAAGCUCCGGCUAACUCCGUG
rnacentral:rRNA from 1 species